rnacentral:ncRNA from 2 species
ACUGAAUAUACAGCGCCAGAACAGGAAACUGUUGACGAGGACGGAUGGUUAUCGAAUUUUCGGCGGAUGCCAUCCCGGAUAAAGCGAUUCGAUAGCUGAUGAACAAAACCACCUGGGCAACUGGGUGAACAAAACGCAUCAGCACCGCAUAA